CCUUAGACCUGAGAUCACCUCAGUGACUUGCAAGCAACUCACUGUGCUUUAGUACUGGACUAACUGAAUUUCUAAUUCAGUGAUGGAAGGCUUCUGGGCAUAGUCAAGUACUUGUGAAGUCAGAGUGUGAUCGAGAUGGGAUUGACCACUCCAAGAGUUGGAGAAGAAUGAGUCACUGUAUUUCAAUUUAGCAAAAUCUUGGCCAGGGUAAUCCAUCAGAUGGAUUUGAUAUUUUGAAAUAUAAUGUGGACAACC
rnacentral:lncRNA from 1 species